rnacentral:tRNA from 10 species
GCGCCCAUAGCUCAGUUGGAUAGAGCAACUGCCUUCUAAGCAGUAGGUCGUAGGUUCGAGUCCUACUGGGCGCA